rnacentral:tRNA from 1 species
GGCACUAUAGCCAAAUGGCCAAGGCGUGGGUCUGCAAAACCUUGAGUGCGGGUUCGAAUCCCGUUAGUGCCUCCA